AUACAGAGGGUGCGAGCGUUAAUCGGAAUUACUGGGCGUAAAGCGCGCGUAGGCGGCUUAUUAAGUCAGAUGUGAAAUCCCCGGGCUCAACCUGGGAACUGCAUCUGAUACUGGUAAGCUAGAGUUUGGGAGAGGGAAGUAGAAUUUCAGGUGUAGCGGUGAGAUGCAUAGAGAUCUGAAGGAAUACCAGUGGCGAAGGCGACUUCCUGGCCUAAAACUGACGCUGAGGUGCGAAAGCGUGGGUAGCAGACGGGAUUAGAAACCCCAGUAGUCC
rnacentral:rRNA from 1 species